UGUUAAUAUAAGAAUGAAUUGAUGAUCCACAUCAACAUAAGAAUUUUAGGGUUAAAUUAAAACAUGUUAAUAUAAAAACGAAUUGAAACACGCCUGGAAUAUUUGAAUAUUAUAACCUCGAUGAUACUUGUCAACUUCUAUGCCAGGUUGAUAUGACGUUGCUUGAAUUCAGCAAACGCAUGAAAUGGGCAUGCCCCAAGAAGUUGUUAAAGGUCAUAAUGUUUCAUCAUGCAGAUGUUCUUUGUUAUUAGUGUGUUCUACCUUGUUGCCAUGACGUUGGUGAAGGAAGGAAGUACCAAGUGUGCAUCCUUGAAUGCAAGAUGUGAUUUAGGUUUCUCCUGUUGUGAAAAUCUGUUCUGUGUAAGACAUCCAAUUUUGUAUCGUAAAACAUGUAAAACAAGCAUA